rnacentral:rRNA from 1 species
GUAGUUUGACUCCGUGGCUCAGGAUGAACGCUGGCGGCGUGCCUAACACAUGCAAGUCGAACGGACUUACACAGAAGCAGGAGAUGCUUGCAUUGACUAACGGAAGUGUAAGUUAGUGGCGGACGGGUGAGUAACGCGUGGGCAACCUGCCCCAUACCCGGGGGAUAACACCUGGAAACAGGUGCUAAAACCGCAUAAGCGCACAGCUUCGCAUGAAGGUGUGUGAAAAACUCCGGUGGUAUGGGAUGGGCCCGCGUCUGAUUAGCUGGUUGGCGGGGUAACGGCCCACCAAGGCAACGAUCAGUAGCCGGCCUGAGAGGGUGGACGGCCACAUUGGGACUGAGACACGGCCCAAACUCCUACGGGAGGCAGCAGUGGGGAAUAUUGGACAAUGGGGGGAAACCCUGAUCCAGCGACGCCGCGUGAGUGAAGAAGUAUUUCGGUACGUAAAGCUCUAUCAGCAGGAAAGAAAAUGACGGUACCUGACUAAGAAGCCCCGGCUAACUACGUA